GCCCACUCUAACAGGAGAACGGUACAGGCUGAGCGCGAGAAGAAGGAGGACAACGGGGAGCAGAGCUACUGCGGCUGAGCCAAAUGGAGAGAAGACGAUGUUGCAUUGACAGGUCCGAGAUAAAAUGCAAGAAGUUUGGCGAGAAAACAUGAUGCCUUUCUGUUCAGAUGACAAAGCUGGACAUCGCUUUUGGAUUUUGGAAGACACCACUGGUCAAAAGAUGAUGGAAGACUUCUUAGCUCCAUAUUAAUUAUGAACGUGUUCCACAUGCAUGCAACGAUGGAGGAAAAGUAAUGGAAGAAUCUAAUGGAAAUCAUUCAGAAAGGUCCACAGAAUCACCUUUAAAGACCUGGGUAUUGGUGAAACAGGAUGGAGAAGUUAUCAUGGUUCACUGUAACUGCAUGGCCGGGGAAGUGGUUUCGUGCUGUUAACUUCAUCUGUUGGUUUGUGGACGCUGUCAUGAGUGUUGGGAAAAGCAUACGGCUUGACCCCCUUCUGGACAAACAAGUGGAGACUACAGCUUUAUUAUGAAGAUGACGGCUGAUUUUUGCUUUUGGAUUUGCCAAAUAACUGUUUUUGUUUUCAAUGUAACUUUGAUUGCAGUUGUAUCCUGCUGGUUAAUGUGUCGAAAUGCCCCCCAAUGUUUUAACGUUUUGUUAACUUUUUACAAAGCUGUUUUUGUUUCAGCUGAUGCAUGUAUGAUUAUACUAAGUUGAGCAUACUUUUCUUUAAACUUAAAUAAAACUAGUUUUUUGAACGA